rnacentral:rRNA from 1 species
GCCUAAUACAUGCAAGUCGAGCGGACAGAAGGGAGCUUGCUCCCGGAUGUUAGCGGCGGACGGGUGAGUAACACGUGGGUAACCUGCCUGUAAGACUGGGAUAACUCCGGGAAACCGGAGCUAAUACCGGAUAGUUCCUUGAACCGCAUGGUUCAAGGAUGAAAGACGGUUUCGGCUGUCACUUACAGAUGGACCCGCGGCGCAUUAGCUAGUUGGUGGGGUAAUGGCUCACCAAGGCAACGAUGCGUAGCCGACCUGAGAGGGUGAUCGGCCACACUGGGACUGAGACACGGCCCAGACUCCUACGGGAGGCAGCAGUAGGGAAUCUUCCACAAUGGACGAAAGUCUGACGGAGCAACGCCGCGUGAGUGAUGAAGGUUUUCGGAUCGUAAAUCUCUGUUGUUAGUGAAGAACAAGUGCUAGAGUAC